rnacentral:rRNA from 1 species
AUACAGAGGGUGCAAGCGUUAAUCGGAAUUACUGGGCGUAAAGCGUACGUAGGCGGUUCGUUAAGUUAGAUGUGAAAGCCCCGGGCUUAACCUGGGAACUGCAUUUAAAACUGGCGAACUAGAGUUGAGUAGAGGGGAGUGGAAUUUCAGGUGUAGCGGUGAAAUGCGUAGAGAUCUGAAGGAACACCAGUGGCGAAGGCGACUCCCUGGACUCGAACUGACGCUGAGGUACGAAAGCGUGGGUAGCAAACGGGAUUAGAUACCCUAGUAGUCC